rnacentral:misc_RNA from 1 species
CACGGUUCCAAGAUCGAAAAUAUUGCCCAAAAGUGGCCAUCCUGGAGGCCCUGGAGGCAGGUUCUUGGUUCCCUUUCCCCACUUUUUUCGAUUUAGGCACAGAACCAGAGCUAGUGAUAAGAAAAGAGUUGAGCAAACAAGGACACUGUACAUGUAAUCCAUUCCUCUCCGAUGUUUUGAGACGGCUACUGCCAGCAGCUGCUUUUUACAAGAUAAAUCUUGAC